ACGAGAAGCUUGCUUCUCUGAUGUUAGCGGCGGACGGGUGAGUAACACGUGGAUAACCUACCUAUAAGACUGGGAUAACUUCGGGAAACCGGAGCUAAUACCGGAUAAUAUUUUGAACCGCAUGGUUCAAAAGUAAAAGACGGUCUUGCUGUCACUUAUAGAUGGAUCCGCGCUGCAUUAGCUAGUUGGUAAGGUAACGGCUUACCAAGGCAACGAUGCAUAGCCGACCUGAGAGGGUGAUCGGCCACACUGGAACUGAGACACGGUCCAGACUCCUACGGGAGGCAGCAGUAGGGAAUCUUCCGCAAUGGGCGAAAGCCUGACGGAGCAACGCCGCGUGAGUGAUGAAGGUCUUCGGAUCGUAAAACUCUGUUAUUAGGGAAGAACAUAUGUGUAAGUAACUGUGCACAUCUUGACGGUACCUAAUCAGAAAGCCACGGCUAACUACGUGCCAGCAGCCGCGGUAAUACGUAGGUGGCAAGCGUUAUCCGGAAUUAUUGGGCGUAAAGCGCGCGUAGGCGGUUUUUUAAGUCUGAUGUGAAAGCCCACGGCUCAACCGUGGAGGGUCAUUGGAAACUGGAAAACUUGAGUGCAGAAGAGGAAAGUGGAAUUCCAUGUGUAGCGGUGAAAUGCGCAGAGAUAUGGAGGAACACCAGUGGCGAAGGCGACUUUCUGGUCUGUAACUGACGCUGAUGUGCGAAAGCGUGGGGAUC
rnacentral:rRNA from 1 species